UACGGAGGGUGCAAGCGUUAAUCGGAAUUACUGGGCGUAAAGCGUGCGUAGGCGGAUUGUUAAGCGAGAUGUGAAAUCCCGGGGCUCAACCUCGGAACUGCAUUUCGAACUGGCAGUCUAGAGUAUUGUAGAGGGUGGUGGAAUUCCGAGUGUAGAGGUGAAAUUCGUAGAUAUUUGGAGGAACACCAGUGGCGAAGGCGGCCACCUGGACAAAUACUGACGCUGAGGCACGAAAGCGUGGGGAGCGAACAGG
rnacentral:rRNA from 1 species